rnacentral:rRNA from 1 species
UACGUAGGGUGCGAGCGUUAAUCGGAAUUACUGGGCGUAAAGCGUGCGCAGGCGGUUUUGUAAGACAGGGGUGAAAUCCCCGGGCUUAACCUGGGAACUGCAUUUGUGACUGCAAGGCUAGAGUAUGGCAGAGGGGGGUAGAAUUCCACGUGUAGCAGUGAAAUGCGUAGAUAUGUGGAGGAAUACCGAUGGCGAAGGCAGCCCCCUGGGUCAAUACUGACGCUCAUGCACGAAAGCGUGGGGAGCAAACAGG